rnacentral:rRNA from 1 species
GAUUUACAUUUGAGUGAGUGGCGAACUGGUGAGUAACACGUGGGAAACCUGCCCAGAAGCGGGGGAUAACACCUGGAAACAGAUGCUAAUACCGCAUAACAACUUGGACCGCAGGUCCGAGUUUGAAAGAUGGCUUCGGCUAUCACUUUUGGAUGGUCCCGCGGCGUAUUAGCUAGAUGGUGGGGUAACGGCUCACCAUGGCAAUGAUACGUAGCCGACCUGAGAGGGUAAUCGGCCACAUUGGGACUGAGACACGGCCCAAACUCCUACGGGAGGCAGCAGUAGGGAAUCUUCCACAAUGGACGAAAGUCUGAUGGAGCAACGCCGCGUGAGUGAAGAAGGGUUUCGGCUCGUAAAACUCUGUUGUUAAAGAAGAACAUAUCUGAGAGUAACUGUUCAGGUAUUGACGGUAUUUAACCAGAAAGCCACGGCUAACUACGUGCCAGCAGCCGCGGUAAUACGUAGGUGGCAAGCGUUGUCCGGAUUUAUUGGGCGUAAAGCGAGCGCAGGCGGUUUUUUAAGUCUGAUGUGAAAGCCUUCGGCUCAACCGAAGAAGUGCAUCGGAAACUGGGAAACUUGAGUGCAGAAGAGGACAGUGGAACUCCAUGUGUAGCGGUGAAAUGCGUAGAUAUAUGGAAGAACACCAGUGGCGAAGGCGGCUGUCUGGUCUGUAACUGACGCUGAGGCUCGAAAGUAUGGGUAGCAAACAGGAUUAGAUACCCUGGUAGUCCAUACCGUAAACGAUGAAUGCUAAGUGUUGGAGGGUUUCCGCCCUUCAGUGCUGCAGCUAACGCAUUAAGCAUUCCGCCUGGGGAGUACGGCCGCAAGGCUGAAACUC